GAUGAACGCUGGCGGCGUGCUUAACACAUGCAAGUCGAGCGAAGAUGCCGGAGUGCUUGCACUUUGGCAGACUGAGUGGCGGACGGGUGAGUAACGCGUGGGUAACCUGCCUUAUACAGGGGGAGUAACAGUUGGAAACGACUGCUAAUACCGCAUAAGCGCACGGUAUCGCAUGAUACAGUGUGAAAAACUCCGGUGGUAUAAGAUGGACCCGCGUCUGAUUAGCUUGUUGGUGAGGUAACGGCCCACCAAGGCGACGAUCAGUAGCCGGCCUGAGAGGGUGAACGGCCACAUUGGGACUGAGACACGGCCCAAACUCCUACGGGAGGCAGCAGUGGGGAAUAUUGCACAAUGGGGGAAACCGAUGAUGCAGCGACGCCGCGUGAAGGAAGAAGUAUCUCGGUAUGUAAAGCUCUGUCAGCAGGGAAGAUAAUGACGGUACCUGACUAAGAAGCACCGGCUAAAUACGUGCCAGCAGCCG
rnacentral:rRNA from 1 species